GAUGAACGCUAGCGGCAGGCCUAAUACAUGCAAGUCGAACGAUAGUAUUAAGCUUGCUUAAUAUGAAAGUGGCGCACGGGUGCGUAACGCGUAUGAAACCUACCUUAAUCAGGGGGAUAGCCUUUCGAAAGAAAGAUUAAUACCGCAUAAUAUCACGAUGGGGCAUCCUGUUGUGAUCAAAUAUUUAUAGGAUUAAGAUGGUCAUGCGUGACAUUAGCUAGUUGGAGAGGUAAUGGCUCACCAAGGCGACGAUGUCUAGGGGAUCUGAGAGGAUGGCCCCCACACUGGUACUGAGACACGGACCAGACUCCUACGGGAGGCAGCAGUAAGGAAUAUUGGUCAAUGGGCGGAAGCCUGAACCAGCCAUGCCGCGUGCAGGAAGACGGCCCUACGGGUUGUAAACUGCUUUUAUUCGGGAAUAAAUCUUUCUACGUGUAGGGAGUUGAAUGUACUGAAAGAAUAAGGAUCGGCUAACUCCGUGCCAGC
rnacentral:rRNA from 1 species